GAUUGAUUGUUGUGAAUUUGGGCUAUUUGGCUUUUUUGCCCAGCGUUUUCUUUGUUUUCCCGCGCUCUACGUCUGGUUGUUAUCUCUGAUUUUGCAUUUUGGUUGCAAGAAACAUUUUUCUUCGAGUUUUAGGGUUUUAUUCUUCCUAGCUUUUUCUGGGUCAGGUCUGAGCAUUCUGGUUAGCAGGCCCGCUUAGUUGAAUCAGCUAAGUUUCAUGUCUGACAUCGACGUACUGCUUCCACUGCCUUUGAUCAGAAUUUUUAAACGACAAAAUUAACCUGCAAAUUCAGUUCAGAUUAAGAUUUUUUAGCGAGAGAAUCAUGUUCAAAAUUCAAUUGAGG